UACAUGUGGGGCAAGCGUUGUUCGGAAUUACUGGGCGUAAAGGGCGCGUAGGCGGCCCUCUAAGUCGAACGUGAAAUCCCUGGGCUCAACCCAGGAACUGCGUCUGAUACUGGAGGGCUUGAGUAUGGGAGAGGGAUGUAGAAUUCCAGGUGUAGCGGUGAAAUGCGUAGAUAUCUGGAGGAAUACCGGUGGCGAAGGCGGCUUGCCAGAAUGCGCUCGACGGUGAGGGAUGAAAGCUGGGGGAGCAAACCGG
rnacentral:rRNA from 1 species